rnacentral:ncRNA from 1 species
AGAUGAGAGAUACACCCCGCCCACAGGGGACUGUGGGCGGGAUCUCAGGACGAGGCCUCCCCAGCUUCGACCUGGUCGUGCCUCGCGCACACCACCGGAGCCCACGGGUUCCGGGUCUCCUCACGAUCGGA